UGCAUAUCAAUAAGCGGAGGAAAAGAAACCAACAGGGAUUGCCCUAGUAACGGCGAGUGAAGCGGCAACAGCUCAAAUUUGAAAUCUGGCCCUCGGGUCCGAGUUGUAAUUUGUAGAGGAUGCUUUUGGUGCGGUGCCUUCCGAGUUCCCUGGAACGGGACGCCAUAGAGGGUGAGAGCCCCGUCUGGUUGGACACCAAUCCUCUGUAAAGCUCCUUCGACGAGUCGAGUAGUUUGGGAAUGCUGCUCUAAAUGGGAGGUAUAUGUCUUCUAAAGCUAAAUAUUGGCCAGAGACCGAUAGCGCACAAGUAGAGUGAUCGAAAGAUGAAAAGCACUUUGAAAAGAGAGUUAAACAGUACGUGAAAUUGUUGAAAGGGAAGCGCUUAUGACCAGACUUGGGCUUGGUAGAUCAACCUGGGUUCUCCCUGGUGCACUCUUCCUCGUCCAGGCCAGCAUCAGUUCGCUGCGGGGGAUAAAGGCUUCGGGAAUGUGGCUCCCUCGGGAGUGUUAUAGCCCGUUGCGUAAUACCCUGCGGUGGACUGAGGUUCGCGUUCUGCAAGGAUGCUGGCGUAAUGGUCAUCAGCGACCCGUCUUGAAACACGGACCAA
rnacentral:rRNA from 1 species